UACGUAGGGAGCGAGCGUUGUCCGGAUUCAUUGGGCGUAAAGAGCUCGUAGGCGGCUUGGCAAGUCGGGUGUGAAAACUCCAGGCUCAACCUGGAGACGCCACCCGAUACUGCCAUGGCUAGAGUCCGGUAGGGGACCACGGAAUUCCUGGUGUAGCGGUGAAAUGCGCAGAUAUCAGGAGGAACACCGGUGGCGAAGGCGGUCUCUGGCCACUACUGACGCUGGAGAGACGAAAGCUAGGGGAGCAAAUGGG
rnacentral:rRNA from 1 species